AUUGAACGCUGGCGGCAGGCUUAACACAUGCAAGUCGAGCGAGCGGCGGACGGGUGAGUAAUGUCUGGGAAACUGCCUGAUGGAGGGGGAUAACUACUGGAAACGGUAGCUAAUACCGCAUACCAUCAGAUUUGCCCAGAUGGGAGUAGCUAGUAGGUGGGGUAAUGGCUCACCUAGCCGACGAUCCCUAGCUGGUUUGAGAGGAUGACCAGCCACUCGGGAACUGAGACACGGUCCAGACGCCUACGUGAGGCAGCAGUGGGGAAUAUUGCACAAUGGGCGCAAGCCUGAUGCAGCCAUGCCGCGUGUGUGAAGAAGGCCUUCGGGUUGUAAAGCACUUUCAGUCGGUAGGCGUUACCGACAGAAGAAGCACCGGCUAACGAGGUGCCAGCAGCCGCGGUAAUAC
rnacentral:rRNA from 1 species